UCCAUUAGUAAUGGCGAAUGAACAUGGAUUGACCAUCAUCGAAUCGUGCUGCUAGAGGCAGCGCGAAGUGUGAUGUGGUGGUCACUGGAUUCGGGAUCGCCGUAGGUAGCCUAACUACGGUUGAAGUCGUCUACCCAUGGAGGGUGAAAGGCCUUUGUGGCUCCUAGCUUGACUCGAUUUCAUUGGCUGCGGAGUAGAAUUGCUUGAGGUCGCAGUUUGAAUGCGUGUGGUUAGUCUCACAUAAGUUUUUGUAUUAUGGCGAGGCCGAUAGAAUACAAGUACCGUGAGGGAAAGUUGAAAAGCACUCUGAAAAGAGAGUUCACAAGUUCGUGAAACUGCACACUGUUGAAGCGAAUGACCGGGUACGAAUUGAUGCAAUCUGUCAUGCGCAGUGCAUUGUUUUUUUGAUAGUCAGAGAGUUUUCUCUGACAUUUACUAUUAACUGUGAUACCUGAUGUAAUGUGCAGUAGCUGAUUGUGCAUAGGACUGCUUGCUAACGGGCCAGAUUAAUGACUGUUUCGGGACUAGGAGUUUCUUUUGUUACUCUAUGUUGGUGAUGAUUAUAUAGUGUUGGCAUGUCUGACGUUCUGAUGUGCUAUGUUCUGAGCUGGGUAGCGCUACCGAUGAGUCUGACCAAUAUUGCUGUCGUUUGGUGAUAGUGGCGUCGAUUUUGUGUUCACGGCGCUAAAGUUUAAGACGUGCAGGUCGAACUCUUACAAAGCCAAUGGGCAGUUUAUUUGUGCGCGGCAUUCGAACCGUCUUGAAACACGGACUAAGGAGUACAACUUGAGCGCGAACCUUUCCGAUGGGAAUUGUUAUGGUGAAGUGAAAUCGACUAUAUAUGAGAAAGAGAUGUUAACUGAUGAGUGUAAGCGUCAUGAUGGUAAGCGCGCUUUUUGAGUGGCACGGCUUUUUAGUUGUUGUCUGCAGUUGAGUGUUCAGGUUGUUACCCGAAAGAUGGUGAACUAUGCCUGGGCAGAAUGAAGCCAGGAGAAAUUCUGGUGGAAGUUCAUAGCGGUUUUGACGUGCAAAUCAAUCGCAAGACUCGGGUAUAGGGGCGAAGACUAAUCGAACGUCUAGUAGCUGGUUCUCUCGAAGUU
rnacentral:rRNA from 1 species